rnacentral:rRNA from 1 species
UACGUAGGGUGCAAGCGUUAAUCGGAAUUACUGGGCGUAAAGCGUGCGCAGGCGGCUUUGCAAGACAGAUGUGAAAUCCCCGGGCUUAACCUGGGAACUGCAUUUGUGACUGCAUGGCUGGAGUGCGGCAGAGGGGGAUGGAAUUCCGCGUGUAGCAGUGAAAUGCGUAGAUAUGCGGAGGAACACCGAUGGCGAAGGCAAUCCCCUGGGCCUGCACUGACGCUCAGGCACGAAAGCAUGGGGAGCAAACAGG